GAGAACAGAGAUCAUAAGACAGUAUGAUCCUCGUUAACAUGUGAGACAGACUUCAUAUGGAGGAUCAUCACAGACAAAGUGGCGGUCACUCAGUGAGACAUCAGGUACAGAUGUGAUUGGCAAUACAAGGAAACAGCAAAAUACCAGUUACAAUAUAUUGAGUCCAUACACAGAGUUGAAAGUGUAUAGAGAUACUGGAAUUCGGAAUCUAGCGUCAUAGCCGUAAGAAUACCGAUUACGGGAAAGUGACCAAGGGACUGAGCAUUUAAGGUGGGAGACUGGAUUAGGAUUAAGACCAGGAGCUGACACGGGGAAUAGAGUCCCAACAAAACAAAAACAAACAACAACAAAAAGACGGAAAAAGACGCCAGGGAAAUGAGGCUGGGAGAAUAUAGAACCAGGCAUAGGGAAUGCAAGGUGGGAUGGUUCUGGUGGGUGUGUUUAUACCAGGUACACCAGUGGCAUUACAAGAGAUGUUACCAUAACCGUCUACUGUGUGCCUCAUACCACCUAGGAACCUCCUAGACUGAUCAAUCCUGAAGUUACACAAUGAAGGUCACUGUUGACGUCCCAAUGUCCAAAGACCCAGAGGUUAAACUUCCCCUGGUUAUCCUCCUGGACAAAUGAAAAGCAGCUGAGAAUGGCAGAAAGAAUACAUCUUGACCAAAUGUCCUCCUAUAAGAUCCUGGUCCUGGUGGUUGAUGCCCGUAGGAUGUAAGACUAAAGCUGGUGGUCUGUGCCUGUAUCCAUUAAACAUCUCAGAACAGGAGUACUGACCUUUUAGAUCACUAUGGACAGGGAUUAUUAUGGACAGGGAGGACCCCAUCCUAGAUCAGCACUCCUACUAUGAGCUGCUUUGUGGAUACGGGCUCAGUUUCCUAUAAUCUCUGUUGUUUUGAAACACAGUCUGUCACUGUCACAAUGUCUGUAAUUAUGUUAUUUUGUCACAUAUAUCAGUUAUUUCCCAACUCUUGAAUUGAACUUAAUCUGUUUUUCCUCAUUUCUUCCUUAUGACACAAUUUCUGCUUUUCUCGGAUCUUUCAGUUACAGUAUAAGUUUGUUGAAGUCAUGUUUCCUGGUCUCCACUAGAUGGGGAUAUAGGUAAAGCUGUGUAAGAGCAGUGACAGAGCAGGGACUAGUGUAAUCUGAUUUAUUAUCUGAUGCUCAUUUUUCUUGUCAGCUAAGGAAAUGUGCCACUUGAUUUUUUAAGAAUAAUGUUUCAUUUUAAUCUUCAUUUUUUUCAUCCAAUCACUGGGAUUACAGUUUUUGUUGUUGAAAGAAUAGGGUAUGCUUGUGAUUAUUUAUGUUUCACUGUCUUCAAAGUUGAGUGUUCUUCACUCACUCACUCAUUCACUCACUAAUUUCUGGAAAAGUUGUCAUACAUGACUUUGUAACCCUAUAAUACAAUUGAUUUGAACAAAUCCAAUCAUGUCGAUAAGGCAUCUCUUUUCUACACAGUGAAAGGCCUGAUUGGCAUGUGGAUAUGGUCUGUGGUUCUUCAGAUGAUAUGAAUGCUUCCAGAUCGUUCUGUGGGUUUGAGAGUGAGGGGCCAAUCACCAGGGGACAGCAGGGUCGCUCUCUCCAGCCUGCUCUCAGAUAUCGUCCAUCCGCAGGGGGUACCUCCUUCAUCAAGGGUACUCUGAGCAGAGCAACAUGUGAUUAGCAUAACCAAAAAAGGUUGAGAACCACUGCGCUACAAUCUUAGAAAAAAGCGUUCCAAAAGGGCUAUUUGGCUGUCCCCAUAGGAGAACACUUUUUAGUUCCAGGUAGAACCCUUUUGAGUUCCAUGUAGAACCCUCUGUGGAAAGUGUUCUACAUGUGUUCUACAAAAGGGUUCUACCUGGAACCAAAAAGGGUUCUUCAAAGGGUUCUCCUAUGGAGACAGCCAAAGAACGAUUUUAAGGUUCUAGAAAUAGCAACUUUUUUUCUUUUUUUCUAAAUGUCUCAAAAGAGUGCAUGAUCACCCGUUUUUCAGCUGCUGAGGUUACAGCUGGGGGUCACAUCUUGGCUAAUGUUACUAGAGUUCAGACAGAUAUUUGAUACAUUUUCUUAGGAGACAAAAUCAUGCCCCCUGAAGUAAACUCAUUUUAGGUUUGGGAGUAUACAUCCAUCAAACAGGCAAGAGACUUAAAACAACCAUUGGACCAUAGAGUUAUUUUCUGUGAAAUGUCUAUGCUCUUCCUUGUCUACCAAUGCUUUCAGAUUUAAAAAUAAAGAAGAGAAAAAACAAAGGACCAGA